rnacentral:rRNA from 1 species
AUGCAGUCGAACGAGCUUCCGUGUGAAUGACGUGCUUGCACUGAUUUCAACAAUGAAGCGAGUGGCGAACUGGUGAGUAACACGUGGGAAAUCUGCCCAGAAGCAGGGGAUAACACUUGGAAACAGGUGCUAAUACCGUAUAACAACAAAAUCCGCAUGGAUUUUGUUUGAAAGGUGGCUUCGGCUAUCACUUCUGGAUGAUCCCGCGGCGUAUUAGUUAGUUGGUGAGGUAAAGGCCCACCAAGACGAUGAUACGUAGCCGACCUGAGAGGGUAAUCGGCCACAUUGGGACUGAGACACGGCCCAAACUCCUACGGGAGGCAGCAGUAGGGAAUCUUCCACAAUGGACGAAAGUCUGAUGGAGCAAUGCCGCGUGAGUGAAGAAGGGUUUCGGCUCGUAAAACUCUGUUGUUAAAGAAGAACACCUUUGAGAGUAACUGUUCAAGGGUUGACGGUAUUUAACCAGAAAGCCACGGCUAACUACGUGCCAGCAGCCGCGGUAAUACGUAGGUGGCAAGCGUUGUCCGGAUUUAUUGGGCGUAAAGCGAGCGCAGGCGGUUUUUUAAGUCUGAUGUGAAAGCCUUCGGCUUAACCGGAGAAGUGCAUCGGAAACUGGGAGACUUGAGUGCAGAAGAGGACAGUGGAACUCCAUGUGUAGCGGUGGAAUGCGUAGAUAUAUGGAAGAACACCAGUGGCGAAGGCGGCUGUCUAGUCUGUAACUGACGCUGAGGCUCGAAAGCAUGGGUAGCGAACAGGAUUAGAUACCCUGGUAGUCCAUGCCGUAAACGAUGAGUGCUAAGUGUUGGAGGGUUUCCGCCCUUCAGUGCUGCAGCUAACGCAUUAAGCACUCCGCCUGGGGAGUACGACCGCAAGGUUGAAACUCAAAGGAAUUGACGGGGGCCCGCACAAGCGGUGGAGCAUGUGGUUUAAUUCGAAGCUACGCGAAGAACCUUACCAGGUCUUGACAUCUUCUGCCAAUCUUAGAGAUAAGACGUUCCCUUCGGGGACAGAAUGACAGGUGGUGCAUGGUUGUCGUCAGCUCGUGUCGUGAGAUGUUGGGUUAAGUCCCGCAACGAGGGCAACCCUUAUUAUCAGUUGCCAGCAUUCAGUUGGGCACCU